UCUGACAUCUUAUCUCCUAUCCUUUGGAUAGGGGAUAAGAUGUCUAGGGGCGGAGUACCCCUUUAAUGAAAUCUCCCCUUUCUAAGCUUCUUUCAGGGCAGUGGUGCUGCAGAUAGCCACCAAAAACAUAUUGUUUGUAUUAAUAAUGUGUGUUGGAUGACUGUCAGCAGUACCACCACUUUGCAAACAGCUCUAAGGAAAGAGAGGAAGACUCAAUACACAGAUAGACUACCCAGAAUCUAUGGGAAGCUUCCAAUAAUGUAACUAUACAUAUAUGGACAGUAACAUCACUGGCGCCUCCUUUUCUUGCAGCGGAUAGUGCAUCCCACUGUGCACAUCCACUAUGCCUAUAUAGUGUGAUGUGUUGCAGCCUUCCAACAGGAGUAUACAUCAGAGGCCCUCACAACACAUCCUUCUGACAGAAGGCUAAAACACACAAUGUAAACCAGUAUGAUACAAUGUGAGUGAGACAGUCCCAUAGAAUUUUCCCAGCAUGUUCCACUGACCGAUCAAAACUGUAUAUCUGUUACAUACACACAUAAAUAUAACCAUGAAUUCAGUAUAACUCUGAAAAUAAUCUAGAACUCUGCAUUAGCACUACUGGUGAAAUCUGUAUAUUGAUUUUUUACUUCUUAGCCCAUGCCAACAUGAGAAUGAUUUUUAUACAGUUAGCUAAUACUCUUUACAGCACAAAGUGAUGUGGCUCAUGUCCUCAUUCUAAAGGUACUUGUGCCUAUUUUUGUCAGCUACGUACAGAUAGAGCAAGACCGGAAAAUGUUAAUAUUAUCAUUCAUCUGAGGUGGCUGCCAAGUAAAAGUGUUCAGAAAAAAAGGAUGCUGCAGCUUUAAAAUGUUCUUUUUUAUUGUAGAUAUAUAUGGGAACGGUAUAUAUGGCAUGGUAAUCAAAUGCAUUUGUAGUUAUUGGUACAGGUAAUAAGUGGUUAAUUAAUACCGUUAUGGAAAAAGGGAGUCCUCUAUAUCAAUGUCACUGAAGAUUAUAGAUGCUUUCUGACUAAAAUGGGGCCACUUUUUUCUAAAGGAUGUAUAUGUUUUAUUUUUAACUUUGCCACAUUCUUUUAUUGGGAAUAUGAUGCAAUACCAAAUACAAUCCAUGGGCGGGAGCACUGCUGUUUCUGUAGAAAAGAAAUACAAAUUCUACUCUGACAUAAUGUCAAGGAAAUAAUCAUUAGCAUUUUCUUAUUCUCCAUACAUUAUCCUUCAACACUCACUAAACCAGAAAAUGUUAUGCAUGCCGUAUUUUGCUGCAUAUUUGCUGCUGCAUAUUUUCCUACCCAUGGAAGUCAAUAUGUAGCAAAAGCAGCUGCAGAAAAUGUGCAGCAUAGAAUACAGCAAAAUACGGCAUAUGUGACCCUACCCAUAAAUUGCAUUGUCAUUAAAGGGGUAUUCCAGCCUAUAACACUUACCACAGGGACUCCCAACAAUCUUAAAAACAGGGUCCAAAACCUCUUGUUAGAAUGGAGUGCAAACACUAAAUAUUUAGUUUUUUUUCUGUUAGAACUCUAACUCCAGCAGUUCCAUAACAAUGAGGCGGAGUGUGCAUAUGGGACUACCGUUCUAUUCCAUCUGGAGACUCAGGUCCCAAUAUUUGAGAUCACAGGGUCUCCCCGUAGUUUGGUCUUCCACAAUCAGACACAUAUCCCUUAUCCUAUGGAGAAGGGAUGAGUGUUAUUGGCUGGAAUACCCCUUUAAGCAUAUACCAAGAUCCUUUACUUCUUUGUAAGCCUUAGGGCUUAUUUACACUACCUAUUUUUCCGAGGGAAAAAGGGGGUGCACUGGCUCCUAUUGUUCUCAAUGGAAUAUUGCUGCACCAUUCACCAUUAUUUUGGCAGCACCCGCUUCUCUGGAUGGAGAUUUCAUAGUGUGAAUAAACCCUAACAAUAGUCAUAAAGAAAAAAGGGGAACUGCUACCACAAUGUACAGAGAACGGAUGGCAAAAAUUACAGGAUGUGUAAAGCCUCCAUGUGGCCACAUGGUACCUCUGUACAUCACUAUAUUACAAUAAUAAUACUAUGACAUGCAAAGAAACCUGGGACAAUAAUAUAUAUGAAAUUGGUGGCAAACAGAUGUAUAGUUCUAUGGGUGCCAUGCUGUGGUUUGGAACAUCACAGAAAUGACUUUAUAUGGAGCCGUAAUACGGCCAUGUGUAGGCAGCCUUAAUCUGAUGCCUUUGGUGGUUCAUGUCAUGUUUCUUUACAUUGUUCAAGAAAACUUGGCACUCCAAUAUAUGAUGCAAAAAGUUUUAUUCAUACAGUCCUUAAAUGAAUGUUUCGGCCCUACCAGGACCUUCAUCAGAAUAUUACAGGACUGGUGCGGAGAAUAGAAGAAUCGUCCAAGAGCCGUGUGAUUAGGUAGGUUGUAGCGUGGCUUGUAGCUGAUGAAGGUCCUGGUAGGGCCGAAACGUUAAUUUAUUUAAGGCCUCUUUGCAUCAUAUAUUGGAGUGCCAAGUUUUCUUGAGCACCAGCUGUGAGGGAGUGACAUAGUUUCUUCACAUGUUUCUUUACAUUGCCAUUUAGGCUUUCCUUUCAGGAGCGGGAUUCUAGGUAAUUAUAACCAGUAAAUACUAAUUUUGGGGAGGUGCAAAAGAAAUUAUAAUCAUCCUAUGAGAGGCGGCCCCAAGAACCAGAGACUACGUCCUACUUCCAUUGGUCUGAACCAUUCUUAUGUUGUGAUAAUAGUCCUUAUGUCAUAUCGGCGUUGGAAAAAAAGGAAAGAGCUGCUGUAUGUGGGUGACAGAUGUGACACUAUGAGCUAUUGACUAUUCAGCGUGUGGUCAAUCAUAACGUGUUGAGUCAUUGACUAUGAAGCAAUGCUUCAAGGUGUGAGUGUCUUGUUCUCCAGGCCAUAGACAAGGAGAACCAUUGCUGCUACUGCUGUCUGGAACAGUGUUUGCAAUACUAUUUCAUAGUAACUAGGAUUUUAUUUAUACAUAUUAUGAUGAUGAUGAAUAGCUUUUAAGGAAAAGGGAACGGAGGAUGUACUGAAGGCAUCCCCUGACAAUAUGUCUAGCUGUUGAGUUGAAUAGCUACAUGUAAUCUACAUAUGCAGUUAUUCCACAGAGCAGUCUGUGCCAUGUGUAUUAUAUUGCUUGGAAUAUGCUAUAACUAAUGGAUGUGGUGAGCUGUGGACUGAUGGAAUGACUGUGUAAAUAUAGAACUAUUUUAGGGAGAAAAUACUUUUAAAUGGUUUACUGGAUUCACAAUGCACUUUUAGGUUGUGUGUUUAGAGAUGAGUAAUAUCGCUGUAGACAUUUCAGAACUUUAUGUAACAAAUGUUUUGCAAUAAAAGGAUGUGUUUAAAAAGU